AAGUCGAGGGGCAGCAUGGGCUUAGCUUGCUAAGCCCGAUGGCGACCGGCGCACGGGUGAGUAACACGUAUCCAACCUUCCGGUAACUCCGGUAUAGCCUUUCGAAAGAAAGAUUAAUCCCGGAUAGUAUGGUGAUUCCGCAUGGUUUCUCCAUUAAAGGAUUCCGGUUACCGAUGGGGAUGCGUUCCAUUAGGCAGUUGGCGGGGUAACGGCCCACCAAACCUACGAUGGAUAGGGGUUCUGAGAGGAAGGUCCCCCACAUUGGAACUGAGACACGGUCCAAACUCCUACGGGAGGCAGCAGUGAGGAAUAUUGGUCAAUGGGCGGAAGCCUGAACCAGCCAAGUAGCGUGAAGGAUGACUGCCCUAUGGGUUGUAAACUUCUUUUAUAAGGGAAUAAUUGUGGGUACGCGUACCCAUUUGCAUGUACCUUAUGAAUAAGGAUCGGCUAACUCCGUGCCAGCAGCCGCGGUAAUACGGAGGAUCCGAGCGUUAUCCGGAUUUAUUGGGUUUAAAGGGAGCGUAGGCGGGCGCUUAAGUCAGCUGUGAAAGUUUGGGGCUCAACCUUAAAAUUGCAGUUGAUACUGGG
rnacentral:rRNA from 1 species